AUUGAACGCUGGCGGCAGGCCUAACACAUGCAAGUCGAACGAGUGGCGGACGGGUGAGUAAUGUCUGGGAAACUGCCUGAUGGAGGGGGAUAACUACUGGAAACGGUAGCUAAUACCGCAUACCAUCGGAUGUGCCCAGAGGGGAUGAGCUAGUAGGUGGGGUAAAGGCUCACCGAGGCGACGAUCCCUAGCUGGUCCGAGAGGAUGACGAGCCACACUGGAACUGAGACACGGUCCAGACUCCUACGGGAGGCAGCGGUGGGGAAUAUUGCACAAUGGGCGCAAGCCUGAUGCAGCCAUGCCGCUUGUAUGAAGAAGGCCUUCGGGUUGUAAAGUACUUUCAGCGGGGAGGCGUUACCCGCAGAAGAAGCCCCGGCUAACUCCGUGCCAGCAGCCGCGGUAAUAC
rnacentral:rRNA from 1 species